CGUUUUCUGACGAAUUACUUGUGAAAAUAAUGAAUUAUUAUUAAUUGUAGUUUGACGAAUGUCGCCAACAGAUCAGUUUCUUUCAUUUUUCAAAAAUUUCCAAUAUUAAGAAAUGAAAAUAUAACUUCUUAUUAUUUGCUGUUACUUCAAUCGAGAUACGACUUCAAACGACUUUGACAUUUUGCCUCUUUAAUAUUCCAUCCGAAGAUUCAAGAGAAAUGGAAGUUGAAACAAUGAUCAAAGAAGAUAUUCGAUCGUCUCGAAAAGAGAUAAUGAAGAUUCAUUUCGAGAAGAAACUGAAGGAUACGUUUUUAGACGUAUAAUUCACGAUCAAGAGGGAGCAUGAAAUUGGAGCGUGGCAAUCAGAAAUGGGACGUUCAUUGAAUUCGACCAGUAAAAGGGGAAAGAGUGGGCACGACAAGGAGUAUAACAUACAUUAUGAGUGGAAUCGAUAAGAACUGGGUUAACACGAUCAGUUAAAGCAGCAGACUUUCUUCAACAUGACUAUUAUAUUUAAAAUUAAUGAUGAUUUAAUCAGAUGGAAAAUUGAACAAUCCUAUGCGUUUUCCAAUCCGUUCCCUCUGAAGAGAAUCGUCUUUUUCAUGUCAUUCAUCUUUGUUUCUAUUAUCAGAUAUCAAGUUCAUUUUUCCUGAUAACGAAAUCUUUUUUCUUUUUCAAGAAACACGAUUUCAAAUGUACGAUUGGCGGGAAAAGAUUACUUUCAAAUUUUUAGAAAAUAUUAUUGAAUUUUUAUGAAUUUAAAAUUCCAGAUAAUAUUAAGAAAUGAAAAUAUAAACUUCUUAUUAUUGAUAUUAUUGAUAUUAUCAAUUGAAGCAAUCUUCAACACGGUUUAUAUUAUAUUUAAAAUUAGACAGAUGAAGAAUUGAAGAAGAAUAUAAGAUAUACGUUUCAGGCUAUGAUUUUUUUGAAGAGAAUUAUCUCCUUGAUGUUAUUCAUCCUUUGUUGGUAAAUGAUUAAUUUUUCCUAUACUCAUGAAAUUUUUUUCAACAUAUCUUUUGAAAGAUUAAGAUUAUCUUUUGAAGAUUACAAUGGUUAAUAUUCUUAUAUCUCAAUACUUCAUAUUUAUAUUUUAAAUAACUCAAUAUCUUGAAAGUAUUAGUCACUUUAUAAUUCAAGUUACGUAGACUUGCUUCAAAGGAAGAAACGAUGAUAUAUCCAAUUUAAAUCAUAUUUUCUGAGAUAUCAAAAAGCAGGAUUCACAAGAAAACCGAUACUUUAAUCUCGUUCCUUUGAGAAUUCAGUUAUACGCAUGCUAUGAUAUUAAGAUUAUAAGUAGAUGCAUCUUACAAAUAUAUCCAGUUCAAAUUAUAUUUCUUGAGAUAUAAACGAUCUACAAAUAAAUCUAAGUCCUAUCUGCACACGUUACCAAAAGAUCAGAACACUAAAUAAUAACGGAUAUUAGACAUCAGCUCAUAAAUGUAUCUACUUUAACGUUUCUUGUUACAAUCCUCCCAAAAUCCUUGCGAGCAAAUUCAAAUCACGUUUCGAUUAAAAUUGGGCUCGUUUCGUUUUCGAAAUCAA